rnacentral:lncRNA from 1 species
AGAACAGAGUAAGCCACCAGACCUAUAUGGUCCACACAUGGAGAUGCUGCCUCAAAAAUCGCCGUCUUUAGAAGUACAACCUGGGAUAUGAAUUUUGUACUUAUCUUCCCAUCAAGAAUCGUUUUUCCUGAAUCAAGAGCCACCAGAAAUAUGUCAUUUGUGUGCACGUAGGCAACCAUUCUCCCUUCAUAAUUUUUGGAAGGUCUUCUGGACAAUAAACUCUUCAUAAAGAAAAAGGAUAUACAGCUGUAUGUUCAGUGAUGCUACAGUUAACUCCUGAAUGGAUACGAGCCCAGCACUUGCAUUAGCGUACAACUAAGGCCCUGGAAGGAAAGCCUGUUGUCUCACCAUACCAUGGGAUGGCUUCCUCUCCAACAGCCCAUAAGGACUGCUCACUUGGACCCUCCUACACUUUGCUAGCUUAUGAUUAAUUUUAGCAGCCCAGAAGUUGCCAACUUUCAUAAACACACCUUUUCAAUUACAAGAGUCCUUGUUAAAGGAAAGUACUAAGACUGUAGUGGUGGCUCUGUGUAUCAUCCACACACGAGGGGACCGAGACAAGGAAGAGCAUCACACUUGGAAGCAAGCUUAGUCUCCAGUUCUUUCUUGGCAGAGCAAAUGAAGGAUGUAAAUGGUGCACAGCACAUUGAGUUUCCAGAGGAGGAGGUUACAAAAAAGAAUGAAGUGAAUAUCGAACUCAGGAGGCAGAGAGUCACCCUGAGUCAGAGGAAACCUGAAGUAACUCAUGUGAAUGAGUGCCUGAAUUCACCUUUGGAAAGGUAAACUCCAUCCUCUCAUACUUGGGUUUGUCACCUUCUAAUGGCUGUCAACUCUCUAAUAAAAGUACUUGCA